CUCAGCUCCAAACCUGUCUCACUUGGUUGCUCCUGUUUUCUUGUCUGGGGAGUGGUUCAGCUAAGGGAAAGGUGAUUGAACCAUUACCAGAAGGGAAAAACACCUAUUAAAAUUGAAAUAAUUCAAAAUGCUGGAAGUGGCUCCUUUAUGUGAGCAUACCUGUUCCAUUUGGCCACUGAGCAGUCCUUAGCAAUCCUUUUAUUUCUCUGCUGACAAACCCAUGUUCAAAAGCCAUAGGGUGGUUCCUGACCUGAAGGAGAGCUGGAGAAGUGUCCUUGUCUAUGCUGGCACACAGAAUACAGGAUGAAAGAGAUGAAGACAACAUCAAGUCCCUGAUCCUUUGUCUCUCUGAUGAGCCUGGAAUGAGAUCUAAAGGAAAAUCCUGUGCUUGAUGCAGAGUUCCUCAAGCUCCACAUGCUUCCCCCUCUUUGACGGUUUACUGACAUGGGACAUUUCACACAGAAGUGGGAAUUCUGCCCCCAGGAUAUCUACCUUUGUGAUGGCCACUCCCAGAGCAAUCAACCUAGAGGAAAUUCAUGUCUGAACUAAUGAAGCUCAGGUUUAUUCUCAGCUUCUCAUUAGAAAUAUGGAAGUUUUUCUUCCAUCUGCAUUUUCCCCAAAGGUGUUCCUAAUUAAA